rnacentral:lncRNA from 1 species
CCACUCCCCUCUCGUGAUAUUAUACUUUACAAGCUAGAAUGUUGUUUCUACUGAUGCUCCGGUUUUUGAUAUGUCAGGUGGUACAUCUUUUGGACAAGUUUGAUCUAUGGCAUAAAUUACCAGUGUUACUCGGGUUGGCGUACUUAGGAUUAAGAAGACACUUGCACCAACGAUACAACCUGUUACAUGUAGGAAAAGUUAAUGGCAAGAAAUAUGAUACAGAAGAGUUCUCGUAUCGGACUGCUGAUGGUACGUGCAAUCAUCCUUUGGAUCAUUUCGUGGGCAGUCAUGGAACCUUCUUUGGGCGCAACAUGCCACAAUCAACUUCAACUUACGGGGUAAGCUAAAGCGCAAUCAAAUAUGCCAUAGUAAUGAAAUCAUGGCAAACUCACUCGUUUUUUCCGGUCAAAGUUUUUAAUAGUUUCACUUUCGAUUACUUCAUCAGGUUAGCUACCGGAUAUUUCAGUUUUCUGUUCAGUAGGUUAGGGGGUGCAAUGUAUAUUAACCUGUUUCAGUUCUUUCAUAAUGUUCUUUUUUUAUCGCUAAUUAGCAUGAUCCAAUAAAUGUGCCUUAGUCGUAUCCGUACCUGAAAUCUAUAGCUUGAGAUUUCUCACACACUCAUGAGAAGAUUAUUCAAUUAUGCAGCUGCUGGAACCUCAUCCAGCAACAGUGGCAACGAAGCUCUUGGAAAGGAGAAAGUGCACAGAUUGCGGGAGCCAAUUAAACAUGAUAGGAUGCGCGUGGAUACAAUUUAUGAUCCAUGAUUGGAAUGACCAUAUGGAGGACACUGAACAGGUACCCACUACUUGCAUUAAUAAGGGCAUGAAAGAAUUCAUCACUUGUUGUAAUAACAGGCAAAAGUUGGUGGGAUGUCAUUUUCGGUUGUCUAAUUUGUCAGAGUUUUUUAGUUUGCUUUAUGAGGAUAUUAUGCUGUUUGAUACUAACGAAAGUUCUUGAAGGUUUUAGAGAAGAUAUAACUGUUUUCAUUUCCUUUCUUAUGAACUAAAGGAGAUUAGAAGGUCAUUUAAAGAAUUAGAGUUUUAGUCAUAGUAAAUGUGUGUUUAUGUUUCUCUAACACAAAUAUUUUGACAGGUCGAGCUUAGAGCUCCUGGAGACGUUGCAGCAGGGUGUUCGUUGAAGUCAUUUAAGUUCUUUAAGACCAGAAAAGUUCCUACAGAUUCACCUGAUCUGAUGUUUGGGCAUUUGAAUUCAAGGACCCCAUGGUGGUGAGUAGACUCAAAAACUUCUAAAUCCCAUAGAAAACUUAAAAGGUUCUUUCAUAUUUUAAACUUUUGUGAUUUUGUUUGUACUUCUCUUCACUCCAAAAGCCAGCGAUAAAACUAAAUACCCUACUGAUGAUGGAGAAAGCUAAUAAUAUAAGAUAUUGGUGGAAAAGAAUUACCUGUUAAACCGACAAGAUUACUGGACUAGGAAAGAACAAAAAAUAUAAAUACAUCAUCAAGUCCAUGAUCUUGCAUCCCACAAUCUAAAACUGUCAUAAAUUUACAAAAGCAUGAAUACAGCUGGACAAGGAAAUAAGAACAAAGAUAAAUACAUAUCAAGUCCAUGCUCUUGCAUCCCACAAUCUAAAACUGUCAUAAAUUUACAAAAGCAUGAAUACACCCACAAUCAAAUGGUGCUAAUAGCAGGUUAUUCUUUGUUAAUGGAGAGAAACGUCAAGAGAGAUUAUUGCGUGUUAUAUUCAGUCAAGCAAAGUAGAUCCUAUUAAAAUCAAUAAUAAACUCAACUAAAUACUGUAUUCAAAGUGCUGCUUAGUAGCAUGCUAAAAGAGUGAAGUAACAACUACGGUGGGGAUGGAGGGGGAAAGGAGGAGGAAAUAUUAUUCCGUGUUGACAUAUAUGCUUGUCAACUCUUGUCCAAACUGUCCAAUUGGAACUCAAUUUGAUUUCUUACUUCACUUUAAUGCAGAUUGGAUGUUAGUGUACUGAUGGAGUUUUAUUUCAUCUGAUGAAUUAUACAUGUUCCUACUGUUGUGCUAGGGAUGGGAGUGUAAUAUAUGGGAAUAAUAAGGAGGGCAUGAUUAGGGUGAGAACAUUUAAAGAUGGAAAGCUCAGGGUCUCAGGAGAUGGACUUCUUGAACAUGACGAUAAUAGCAUUCCAAUAUCUGGAGAUGUUCGUAACAAUUGGGCAGGCUUCUUUCUGUUGCAGGCCUUGUUUAUGAAGGAACAUAAUGCCAUAUGUGAUAUGCUUAAAGUAUGCUUUUUCUUUUCAGCUUCUUUAGUAUAAUUUUGCACCUUAAGAGAACUGAGUUUGAUUAAAAGCCUGAUUUUCUUUUCUUUUCAGCUUCUUCAGUAUAAUUUUGCACCAUAAGAGAACUGAGUUUGAUCAAAAGCCUGAUUUUUGUUUCAGGGGCAUUACCCUGAAUUUGAUGAUGAAAAGCUGUAUCGACAUGCAAGAUUGACAACUUCAGCAGUCAUUGCUAAAAUCCAUACCCUUGAUUUGUCAAUUGAACUUGCUAAGACUGAUACUGUAGUUGCGGGAACGAGGAUCAACUGGUAAGCCCACUGCUAAAUACUGCUGCUAUUACUGUGGUUGAAUUAACAAACAACUUCCCAGUAUUCACUUAGUUGUCUUGAUCUUCUAAAAUGUCGAGCAUCUUGCUCUGCAUUGCGAAUGACUAUAACAUUAACUAUUAAUGUUAAUUAACAGAGUCUACUUUGACUCAGGUAUGGACUUUUGGGGAAGAAAAUCAAGGAUUUGUUAGGACCUAAGUUUGGACCAAUUCUGAGUGGAUUAGUUGGACUUAAAAGGCCCAGAGAUCACGGGAUUCCCUACUCAUUGACUGAAGAGUUUGUUAGCGUCUAUAGAAUGCACUCACUUUUACCUGAAAAAAUUGUUCUGAGGGACUUGAAGUCGACUACUUCAGAAGACAAAUCCUUGCCUAUUCAAGAGGAGUAUGUUAUCCAGUUACACACAUUUUGCAUUAUAAACUCUCGAAAUUGAUUAUAGGACACGAAUAAGAAUCUGAACCGCACAUUUGAUUUACAACAACAAAAGGCCAGAUUUAUUGAAAUCAGAAAUGAGAAAGUUAGAAACUCUAUGUGCUUUCUAACUGUCUAGUUUGAUCAGGAUUCCUAUGACAAAAAUGAUUGGGAAAGAAGGAGAAAAAAGCUUGUCCAAAAUUGGUAUAGAGCAGAUGCUCGUAUCAAUGGGUCAUCAGUCAUGUGGAGCUGCUACAUUAUGGAAUUAUCCGACGUGGAUGAGGAAUCUUGUUCCUCAUGAUAUUGAUGGAGAAGAAAGACCAGAUUUAGUUGACAUGGCCGCAUUGGAAAGUAUGUUUAUUUAUUCUCCCCUAUUGACAUAAAACAUUGUCCUCGUAUUUCAUAGAAACUACAGACUGACUUGCUAUUAUAAUAGUCUAUAGAGAUAGAGAGAGGGGAGUUCCACGGUACAACGAGUUCAGAAGGAAUUUGCUAAUGAUACCAAUUAGCAAGUGGGAAGAUUUAACUGAUGAUGAAGAAGUAAUUGAGGCUUUGCAAGAAGUAUAUGGUGAUGCUGUUGAGAAGCUAGAUCUCCAAGUUGGUCUACACGCGGAGAAGAAAAUUAAAGGCUUUGCCAUUAGCGAGACUGCUUUCAACAUAUUUCUGCUCAUUGCAUCAAGGUAAGUCAAUAUGUUGCAGUAUAGUAUAUGUUAAACAUAGAACUGGCGUGCUAAUUCGUGUGACUGUUUAUGUUUCUUCAGGAGGCUAGAAGCUGAUCGAUUCUUCACAACUGAUUUCAAUGCGCGAACCUACACAGAGAAAGGCUUCGAAUGGGUUAACAAGACAGAGACAUUGAAAGAUGUUAUAGAUCGACACUUCCCUGAAAUGACAGAGAAAUACAUGAGAUGCACAAGUGCAUUCUCAGUGUGGAAUUCGGAUCCUGAUCCUAGACGUUAUUUACCUCUCUAUGUGAGACCAGCAACCUGAUAUUUUUUAUAGGAUGUGCACUUUGUAACCUUUGUAUGAGAUGAAUAUGUAAUAUUGUGUACGUAAAGUUUGAAAGUAUAAUAUAUGAAUAUGUAAUACGGUAUAGGCCACGUUAAGUUUGAAAGUAUAACAUGUAAGAUCGCGCAAAUCUGUAGCGUAUGUAAAUGGAUUAGUAUUUGUGAGUGUGACACGCUUGACUAUGCAAGUAUGUUUAACCUUUUGCUGUCCAGUGACUCCGUAGGAGAAUAAAAAUAAUUUCCUCAUCUUCUUCAGGUCGAAAAUUGAUUUAUAUAUGUAAGGCUUAACUGUUGUUGUUGUAAGGCUUAACUGUUAUAAAAUAUAAC